GACGAACGCUGGCGGCGUGCCUAAUACAUGCAAGUUGAGCGCUGAAGGUUGGUACUUGUACCAACUGGAUGAGCAGCGAACGGGUGAGUAACGCGUGGGGAAUCUGCCUUUGAGCGGGGGACAACAUUUGGAAACGAAUGCUAAUACCGCAUAAAAACUUUAAACACAAGUUUUAAGUUUGAAAGAUGCAAUUGCAUCACUCAAAGAUGAUCCCGCGUUGUAUUAGCUAGUUGGUGAGGUAAAGGCUCACCAAGGCGAUGAUACAUAGCCGACCUGAGAGGGUGAUCGGCCACAUUGGGACUGAGACACGGCCCAAACUCCUACGGGAGGCAGCAGUAGGGAAUCUUCGGCAAUGGACGAAAGUCCGACCGAGCAACGCCGCGUGAGUGAAGAAGGGUUUCGGAUCGUAAAACUCUGUUGGUAGAGAAGAACGUUGGUGAGAGUGGAAAGCUCAUCAAGUGACGGUAACUACCCAGAAAGGGACGGCUAACUACGUG
rnacentral:rRNA from 1 species